UGCCUUAAGCAUGCAAGUCGAACGAAGUAUUCGCAAGAAUUACUAGUGGCGGACGGGUGAGUAACACGUGGGAAUCUACCCAGAAGUGUAGGAUAACUAGCCGAAAGGUUAGCUAAUACUGCAUGUGAACGCAAGUUCAAAGCUCUUAACUGGGCGCUUCUGGAGGAGCCUGCGGUCUAUCAGCUAGUUGGCGGGGUAAAGGCCCACCAAGGCGACGACGGAUAGCUGGUCUGAGAGGACGGACAGCCACAAUGGCACUGAGACACGGGCCAUACACCUACGGGUGGCAGCAACUGGGAAUCUUCCACAAUGGGCGAAAGCCUGAUGGAGCGACGCCGCGUGAGGGAUGAAGGCCUUCGGGUUGUAAACCUC
rnacentral:rRNA from 1 species